rnacentral:rRNA from 1 species
CACGUAGGGGGCAAGCGUUGUCCGGAUUUAUUGGGCGUAAAGAGCUCGUAGGCGGUUCGGUAAGUCGGGUGUGAAACCUCCAGGCUCAACCUGGAGACGCCACCCGAUACUGCUGUGACUUGAGUCCGGUAGGGGAGCGUGGAAUUCCUGGUGUAGCGGUGGAAUGCGCAGAUAUCAGGAGGAACACCAAUAGCGAAGGCAGCUCGCUGGGACGGUACUGACGCUAAGGCGCGAAAGCGUGGGGAGCGAACAGG